CUAAGCUGGGAACCGUCAGUAUUGGACUCACAUGCCCAGUUCACAUGCGAGAGUAGAGCAUAGAGCUUACAGGGACACGUGGACAGUCCAGGGCUCCACGGGGAGAAACACCAGCGGAGCAAAAAUGCCGUAAAUGGUAGGCUCCACAGCAGCUAACUGAAGCCGCCAGAGACAGCAGGCUGAGGGACAGGAGCGGCGGCAAAGGUGGUGAAGCGAAGUGCAGCUCUCCUCCCACCCUGCUCCAGGUGGUGUGAAAGAAGAGACACACCGGACUCGCUGGACUCAGGAGCAGCCUGGGGCUGUGCCCGCAGCAGUGGUGAAGGGUGCCACGGCAACUGAGUGAGCAGUGUGGAGACGUACGUGAUCAUACAGAAGUAAAUUUGCCAUACAUACGGUUUAUGAAUUGAUGAUUCAAGAUAUUUCAGCUGGUUGACCUCUCUCCAACAUCAGAGCUUGGGAAGAGAAAUAUAAAAAGAAGCAGAUGUUCCCACCUCAUUCCAAGGCUGGUUCUCCUUCAUACAAUGUGCAAAUGAAGUUUUAGAGAUUUGAGCUCAAGGUCUAGGGUACAUCUUACAUUCCCUUGUUCCUAUCAUCUUCUAAUUCAUGAUGUAAGUCUGAGAACUCAAGCAUGGGACAUUCCUGGUAGUUUCCAUCUGAGUAAAUAGUAGGAGUGUAGACUGUACCAGUGAAGCCCCGUUCUAUGGUAGUCUUUCUCGACUUCAAUUUUUUAAAGAGAAGGUGUAUUUCUUAUCUUGUCACCUAGAGAAAUUAAACUCAGUCACUACUUUAAGGUUUAUGGUGGUAACCAAAAGUCUGAAAUCACCAUCGUGCCUGUUUACUCUUCAGGAAAAGGAUGGCAAUUGC